ACGGCUCAGUAACACGUAGUCAACAUGCCCAGGGGACGUGGAUAACCUCGGGAAACUGAGGAUAAACCGCGAUAAGUCACUACUUCUGGAAUGGGUAAUGACUAAAAUCUACAUGGCCCCUGGAUUGGACUGCGGCCGAUCAGGCUGUUGGUGAGGUAAUGGCCCACCAAACCUGUAACCGGUACGGGCUCUGAGAGGAGGAGCCCGGAGAUGGGCACUGAGACAAGGGCCCAGGCCCUAUGGGGCGCAGCAGGCGCGAAACCUCUGCAAUAGGCGAAAGCCUGACAGGGUUACUCUGAGUGAUUUCCGUUAAGGAGAUCUUUUGGCACCUCUAAAAAUGGUGCAGAAUAAGGGGUGGGCAAGUCUGGUGUCAGCCGCCGCGGUAAUACCAGCACCCCGAGUGGUCGGGACGUUUAUUGGGCCUAAAGCAUCCGUAGCCGGUUCUACAAGUCUUCCGUUAAAUCCACCUGCUUAACAGAUGGGCUGCGGAAGAUACUAUAGAGCUAGGAGGCGGGAGAGGCAAGCGGUACUCGAUGGGUAGGGGUAAAAUCCGUUGAUCCAUUGAAGACCACCAGUGGCGAAGGCGGCUUGCCAGAACGCGCUUGACGGUGAGGGAUGAAAGCUGGGGGAGCAAACCGGAUUAGAUACCCGGGUAGUCCCAGCUGUAAACGAUGCAGACUCGGUGAUGAGUUGGCUUCUUGCCAACUCAGUGCCGCAGGGAAGCCGUUAAGUUUGCCGCCUGGGGAGUACGGUCGCAAGACUGAAACUUAAAGGAAUUGGCGGGGGAGCACAUACUGCUCAGUAACACGUAUAGGAAUUGGCGGGGGAGCACACACGGCUCAGUAACACGUAUAGGAAUUGGCGGGGGAGCAC
rnacentral:rRNA from 1 species